rnacentral:lncRNA from 1 species
AAGUAUAGUUAAUUUACAAUGUUUUUUUUUUAAUUGAAUAUUUUUCAUCUCAGCCCUUGAGACGGGAGAUGUAAUUGGCCCCUGCUGGGAGGUCUGCAGGCCUUGUCAGUGCCUUCAAAAGUGAUUGACUGGGAAUUAAAAUUUCCGCCAUCUGAGGAACUCCUGAAGCAGGUACUUGGAGCUCUUCCUGCCAUGACUGUAUUUUGGGGGCUGGGGGCAGGGCCAGCGUCACGAGUGUGUCACCAGUGCAGUCACACAGGCCCCUGUGCUCAGAAGGGCUUGGUACAUGGUAAUGACUUAUUCUUUUUUUUUUUUUUUUUUUAACAUCUUUAUUGGAGUGUAAUUGCUUUACAAUGGUGUGUUAGUUUCUGCUUUAUAACAAAGUGAAUCAGCUAUACAUAUACAUAUAUCCCCAUAUCUCUUCCCUCUUGCGACUCCC